AAAAAUCAGAUCAUUAUUCCGUUGCAAAUUAGCAACCUUUCAAAUCAGAUUUGACAAAAUUGCCAAGAGUUGGCAAAAGCAUCUCCCGAAAGGACCUUACGGGUCAAAUGGAGCGGAAUCCCCGAUGCUUGCUCCCCUUCUCCAAGUCGGCCAGAUUGGCGGUGAGCUUCACUGAGGGGAUGAGGCGGCGAUUUUCAGCAGGGUAAGGUCCUUCCUCGUCCGCAAGACCGAUCGAUCUGGAGGUUAGGUACGAGUUAUUUGGCCCUGCGGGCUGCGGCUGCUGGAUUCUUUGCUUCCUUUUAAUUGGGGUUGCCGUUUUGUCGAUAGCCCCGAUCACCUACUGGAUUUGUGCAUUCGGGGCUGACCUAUCCGAUUUGCCACUUCGUAAACCUCCUGAAACCCACUAUGCAUGGUCCCAGCAGGAAGAUGUGGUAGGUGCUGUGUUACGGGAUCUGAAUUCUUUGCUCUAUGCAACAGCAAGGGGAAGGCGAAGUAUGGUAAUUCUUGUAGAUCCAGUGCACCAAUGCUAAUGAGUGAUACGGUUUUGCAACAAAAAUCGUUGUAUUUCUAUGCUGGUACAGAAUCACAAUAAGGAAUAUGAGGAGAGAACCGAAUUCUCCCAUACACUACUAACCUACAUGUCCUACUCAUUGUUAACUUAUCACUUAUUUCACUGAGUAAAGAUGGCCGAGAGCACGGUUGGUCCGAGUGUGACCUACCUCCUGCCAUGGAGGAUACACCAAUGCUGCUGAUCUUUGGAAGAAGAACUCAUUCCAUUUCACUUCCGCCCCUUGCUACUAGCUUGGCAGAGAGAGCCAAAGCUUAUAUGCUCCUCACUCUUGAUGAAGCAAGUCAAAUACAAUCCUCAAGGUCUUUUGCUAACUCUUCCUAGGUCCAAUUGAACCCAUUCAAGUCAAAAUUCUUGCAGUUCUGAGGCCCAUCAUUUGUGUCAUUGAUAUUCAGGUCCAACUUUGCUGCCAUAAUAAAACUGUCUCUCUCACGCCUCUCUUGGUGACUUGGAGGUGUCCUGCUUAGCUUGUCAAGAAACAAAUCCUCACUUCCUCUUUCUUUUGCUUGUAUAUCAAAGCCCAUGCCUCCUAUCUCCUUUCCUCUGUGGGCAGAAAGGCUGAUUGAUAAGAUAUCUUGAUCUUUUUGUGAGCCAUCACAAGCAGUUAAGCAGCUGUCAACUGACCCGUCACCAAGUUGCAUGGUGUGCCCUUGUGCCAUUUGUGAACCUUCCAUCACCUCAAAGCCUGUAAAUGCAUGCUGGAAGCAUUCUGUUGAUACCUUUGAGACCAAUUCUGACAGUUGCAUCUUCGCAGUGUCUAGGCCAACUGACCCUGCAUUCUGCUUUGCAAGUGUAUCCUGUGCCUUUUCUAGCACAGAUUGUAGGUACUUCCCUUGUGCUUCAAUGCGGAGUUGCAAAUGUCUUUGUACCUGUUGAAAAACAUCGUUAUGUGUAAGGUGUCACAUUAUCAGUACUUGAACUUAAUGAUGAAUUCCUACCAGACCUAUGCAUCAUUUUCCACAACAAGUUAUGUACAAGCAGCACAAUGGAGAUGGGCUCCAAUUUUCCGAUGGCUUGAUACAUGGAAAGAAUAAUUCAUAAUUGGUUAGUUUUUCUUAACUUUUCUUAAGCAUCACCAUUUUUCAUGUUCUUGUUUAAACUGAGUCCAUUCAAAUGCACAACAAUACUAUAUCUCCUUAAACCCUAGACAACCAUGACAAGAUAAAGGAGCUAAUUCAUCAUGUGCAGGACAAAUUUUGUGGAUGCUCUGGAGCUAUAUUUAUGCAAAGAUCUCAUACAUUUUUCCCUUAGAUGUUUUAGAAAUAUAGAAAAUAGAUGAAAUUAAUUCUGGUCUAAAAGAAUUAAGGUGGCACACAAUGGAAUGAUGAUCGUGACGUAGUUUUAUUGACAUAUGCAAUUAUAAAUGACUUGAGUGUCCCUGAAGUUUACUAAAAGGUGACUUAGCUAUGUAUCUUUUUCUUAUUUGGGUGCUAGUAUGUACUUAAAACCCGGUUUCGGGGAGCUAGUAUGUACUUAAAAUCUGGUUCUGGAUACAUGGAAAGAAUAAAAUUUGGUUUUCCAUAACUAUUUUCCAAUAGCUCCAAUUUUAAUUACAUACUAGAGCACUAAUUGCAGUAAAUCUGGCGUUGGAUCCAUUUUGCUAACUGUUCUGCUUCUGCCACACAACCUACUCUAGUGUUCUACUCUAUAUAUCUCCUACUUAUGCAUCAGCUAACAAAAUGUGUUAUAUAUUUGCAAGGAAUGCAGAGGUUGUAAUUUAGCUGGUGAUGUGAUUUAUUUUCCUCUGCUUCUGUAUGACUGUACCUCUAGUUGCUCAUGCAGUCGGCGCUGUACUUCAAUUUGCAUCUGAAGGGCUUCACCUAUGUGCACAGAUCUGAUAAAAUGCAAAGCCAUGUUAUCUUCUGCCUACAUGCUGAAGCAAACAUUUAUUCAUGUCUUACUUGUUUGUCUGGGUGCCAAGGUUUAGGUGGCUAGCUGGUGAUCCAUUUCCUUCAGGUGGCUUCUCCAUUGCCAUGGUGCAGCCAACCACUGAAGAGAAGAAAGGACGUUCAAUGUUAAGCUUAACAGGAGGCUGAUAACUGCUAGGUAAUCUGAGAAUGUUAUACUUACCAUUUUUUGCAUUUAUACCAUUAGCUUGAGUGUGAAUAUUUUUGCUUAGUCUGUAUUUCUAGUAAGAGACAAAUCAACUUAGUUUCUUGUCACAAGGCAUGUACAAGGGAAUACACUAUACUAGGAAUUCCAUGUCUACCUGAAGAUGACUCUUAAGGUGAUAUAGUGUUAGUCCAGGGACACCCAUGAGUCUCAUGAUCGUCUUUGGUGUAGCUUCUGCAUAUUAUUAUAGAACUUAGAUGGCAAUCUUCCUUGUGUUAACUUGUAUGAUAGGUAGAGGGUUUAAGCAUGUACUUACUAUCAGGUCCACCAAGUUGAUUUACCGCAUCCACAAAGCGCUCAUGUAGUUCAGGUGUCCAUUUUAACCUAGGCUUAGCAUCAGUCGAAAGCACAAGCCCUGGCUCUGCUGGAAUAGUCCCUCCUUGCAGAAGCAAGUGCCUUUCUGGAGGGAAUGUCUGCCUAGAAGACAGGAAAUGGCUGUGGCUCUGGAGCUGUUGUUGAUGAUGAUACAUCUGCAAUGAAGAUAUUGCAGCCUUAAGGUUAGGGCCUACAGGAAGAGAUUUCGUGAGCAAACCGAAUAGCACACAUAUGACACAUCUCAUACCUCUUCAAUUCUGUUUUGUACUGAUAUCUCGUUGCAGACUCCAGAAUCCUGAUUGGAACCGACUCUUGCAGUUUAUGACCCUUUGUUUUUGGUGAACUGAGGGGUUUUUAUCGCACGAUGGAGUUAUAUUCUUUGGGAGUCUGCUCUAACAAACUAGGACUACUCAUGCCAGGAUGUUAUGCAGAGACUGGUUUUAUAAGGAAGGCAAGUGAGGAGCGAAUUUCGAAUAGUUGGAAAAAACACUCAAGCCUGACCCAAUCUUUGCAGCAACUGAAAAGAGGGAAAAGGAAAAGUGGAUAGGCGAAUCUAAUGGGGCUGUGCAUCUGUAUGGAGGAGUCCUCUGAGUUUGGUUGCUACCUGUUCUACAUAAGACGCAGAAAGUAGGGCAAAAUGACGGCAGGCGGGCGCGGGCACGCAAUCCCGCGGCAGGGAAGGGAAUAACGAAAAGCGAUGUUGACAAAGCUGGAGGCUGGGAAUCCCGCGCUUUUCUUCUUCUUCCGGGGCCAGAGAUGAGAAGGAAUAUAUCGCCUGCUUGUGUCGACCUCGCCUGCUUGAUUCUUGUGUUCCGUGGCCUGGUUGUGCUCCGCGCGAGAGCAGAGCAGGGCGCCGUCAGGAUGAGCACGUGUGAACCGUGGCGCGGGUAUAUUGUUGGUACUUGGUAGUUUGGUACUACUGUGAGUGCUUUGCUCGGUUGCUGAGUGCUCGUUGCUUGCUAUAUAAAGUUAUAAACCCAACCAGUCACUCUUGGUUGGAUGCUGGGAGAAGGGGCUGACUUGAAAUUGAUGCCAAUUGUGUUAAGUGUGUCUCUCUUGGAGUAAUAACGAGCUAAUGAUCGUGUUUUCUUCCAAGACUA